GCCUUCGUGGUGUAGUGGUUAGCACCCUGGACCCGUAUUCUAGAGGUCCGUGGUUCGAAUCCCGGCGAGGGCA
rnacentral:tRNA from 1 species